UACGUAGGGAGCGAGCGUUGUCCGAAGUUACUGGCGUAAAGCGCGCGUAGGCGGGCUGUUAAGUGAGAGGUGAAAGGCUGGGGCUCAACCCCAUGCAGUGCCUCUCAUACUGGCGGUCUUGAAUUCGGCAGGGAGAAGUGGAAUGGCUGGUGUAGCGGUGAAAUGCGUAGAUAUCAUUGGAACGCCAAUGGUGAAAACAGGUAGCUGGGCUGUGCUGACACUGAGACACGAAGCCAGGGAGCGAACGGG
rnacentral:rRNA from 1 species